rnacentral:lncRNA from 1 species
GUAAGCCGCGGGACGGACGGUCCGUGGGGGGAAGGCCCGGUUGGGCGGCGGAGCACUCUCGGCCUGGAGACGGGGCCCGGAAAGCUGCCGAGCGGCCCGGCCCUUCAUGAACUUGAGCAGAGAGAAGCUGUCCGGGUGCGCGGGCAGCGGGGCCGAGGCCUGGGCCCAGGAGUCGGCCCCAGAACGCGACCGGAAGGAGCGGGCGGGAGGUCAGCCUUUGGGCGGGCCCGGUGGCUCGGGUGGCGCAUUUACUAAUGGCUCCCGGGCCGCCUCGGGCCACACCUGCCCCUCCUGCCACCCUUGCGUCACGUCCGUUACGUCACCGCUGUUGUCACGGCGCCGGGAGAGAGAGGCGGCGCCAGCCCUAAGUGACAAACGCGCACGCCAAUGGGGCGGGAAGCUCGGCCCCGCCUCGGGGCUCGGGUUCCGGCCGGUUGCAUCAGCCGGGAGGGGCGCUGUCUGCCACCCCCGGCUUCCCUGACACGUGAUCGGUGUCCGAGGGCGGGCCCGGGGCAGGAGGCCCAGGCCUUCUCCGGGGCUGGGGAAGCCGGCCGUCCCGGAUUGACCUGUUCCGGGAGAGUCGAGAAAGGACAUACCUGAUCUAACUGGCGAUUUCAACCCCUUUGCUGAUGCAAGUAAGGGUGAUGAUCUACUUCCUGCUGGCACUGAGGAUUAUAUCCAUAUAAGAAUUCAACAGAGAAACGGCAGGAAGACUCUUACUACCGUCCAAGGGAUCGCUGAUGAUUACGAUAAAAAGAAACUAGUGAAGGCGUUUAAGAAGAAAUUUGCCUGCAAUGGUACUGUAAUUGAGCAUCCAGAAUAUGGAGAAGUAAUUCAACUACAGGGUGACCAGCGCAAGAACAUAUGCCAGUUCCUGGUAGAGAUUGGACUGGCUAAGGAGGACCAGCUGAAGGUUCAUGGGUUUUAAGUGCUUUUGGCUCAUUGAAGCUUAAGUGAGGAUUUCCUUGCAAUGAGUAGAAUUUCCCUUCUGUCCCUUGUCACAAGUUUAAAAACCUCACAGCUUGUAUAAUGUAACCAUUUGGGGUCUGCUUUUAACUUGGACUAGUGUAACUCCUUCAUGCAAUAAACUGAAAAGAGCCAUGCUGUCUAGUCUUGAAGUCCCUCAUUUAAACAGAGGUCAAGCAGUGGGCGCCUGGCAGUGUCCAGCCUGAAACAAAGCAAUAAUGUGAUGUUUCGGCCAAGCCCAGAGCCCCGAGAUCACAGAUGGCUAUGUCUGGCCAGAAGCUCCUCGGCUCUCCCUCUACAGAGUUCCCUGCCCUGAGAGAAUGUCACCACCUGAGCAGCCCUUGGUGAAGCUGAGAGGAGAGGAUGGGGUAAGGCAGCAACGGCAGCUGCACCACUAGGCGGGAGCCUUUGGUGGUCGAAGAGUGAUGCCCUGGUGUCUCCAGCCUGCCCGGGUGCACAGAGCUUAGAGUGGCCCCCUUCCCUCUAAUGAGGUGAUAGGACAUCUGGCUUGCCAGCGAGGUCUUUUUGACCAGACAUAUCCUAGCUAAUUGAUGUCCAAACACCAGAAUGUGAGGCCACCCUUCUAGCAGAGUUAAACUUUUGACAAGGGAACAAAUCUCAAACUGAUAUGUGUCAGUCACGUAGCCAGCUGUAGAACUUGCGGCUUGACUAGCAGCAGCUGCCCAAUGCCAUGUGAAGUAACAAACUGGUCUUUGGUUUUUUCCUUCCCUUCAGUUUUAAUGUUAUGUAAUGUAUUUAAACCCUUAUUUAAAUAAAACUUGGUUUUCAGAAACACCUG